rnacentral:rRNA from 1 species
UACGUAGGGUGCGAGCGUUGUCCGGAAUUACUGGGCGUAAAGAGCUCGUAGGUGGUUUGUCGCGUUGUUCGUGAAAACCGGGGGCUUAACCCUCGGCGUGCGGGCGAUACGGGCAGACUGGAGUACUGCAGGGGAGACUGGAAUUCCUGGUGUAGCGGUGGAAUGCGCAGAUAUCAGGAGGAACACCGGUGGCGAAGGCGGGUCUCUGGGCAGUAACUGACGCCGAGGAGCGAAAGCGUGGGGAGCGAACAGG